rnacentral:rRNA from 1 species
AUUGAACGCUGGCGGCAGGCUUAACACAUGCAAGUCGAGCGGUAACAGAGAGAAGCUUGCUUCUCUGCUGACGAGCGGCGGACGGGUGAGUAAUGCCUAGGAAUCUGCCUAGUAGUGGGGGAUAACUUGCCGAAAGGUAAGUUAAUACCGCAUACGUCCUACGGGAGAAAGGAGGGGACCUUCGGGCCUUUCGCUAUUAGAUGAGCCUAGGUCGGAUUAGUUAGUUGGUGAGGUAAUGGCUCACCAAGACCGCGAUCCGUAACUGGUCUGAGAGGAUGAUCAGCCACACUGGAACUGAGACACGGUCCAGACUCCUACGGGAGGCAGCAGUGGGGAAUAUUGGACAAUGGGGGGAACCCUGAUCCAGCCAUGCCGCGUGUGUGAAGAAGGUCUUAGGAUUGUAAAGCACUUUAAGUUGGGAGGAAGAGCAGUUAACUAAUAUUUGACUGUUUUGACGUUACCGACAGAAUAAGCACCGGCUAACUUCGUGCCAGCAGCCGCAGUAA